GUAUUUAAAUGCGUUUUAUAGCAAGAUUACAUUCUAAACUUAUAUAGUGUGUGUGUAUCGUAGCUCAUCAAGGACGAGGCUAGUCGAGAUGGUUUUUAUACCAUCCUUUCGCUUCGGCCCGACGAUCUACAGGGGUGCACAGGUGUGAGAUGGAUGAGCAAAGGCGUGCACAUGCCCCGAGAGGCCAGCGACAACCGAUGUUUUAUCUCGUUAAUGAUCCUUCCGCAGGUUCACCUACGGAAA
rnacentral:misc_RNA from 1 species